rnacentral:rRNA from 1 species
AACCAGGGCUUCGGCCUUGGGGGAAGCGGCGAACGGGUGAGUAACACGUGAGCAAUCUGCCCCGAAGACCGGGACAAGCCGAGGAAACUUGGUCUAAUACCGGAUGCCCUCACCGGAUCGCAUGGUCUGGUGAGGAAAUGGAUUCCGCUUCGGGAUGAGCUCGCGGUCUAUCAGCUUGUUGGUGGGGUAACGGCCCACCAAGGCAACGACGGAUAGCUGGUCUGAGAGGACGAUCAGCCACACUGGGACUGAGACACGGCCCAGACUCCUACGGGAGGCAGCAGUUAGGAAUCUUGCGCAAUGGGGGAAACCCUGACGCAGCGACGCCGCGUGCGGGAUGAAGGCCUUCGGG